rnacentral:rRNA from 1 species
AUUGAACGCUGGCGGCAGGCCUAACACAUGCAAGUCGAACGGUAACAGGAAACAGCUUGCUGUUUCGCUGACGAGUGGCGGACGGGUGAGUAAUGUCUGGGAAACUGCCUGAUGGAGGGGGAUAACUACUGGAAACGGUAGCUAAUACCGCAUAACGUCGCAAGACCAAAGAGGGGGACCUUCGGGCCUCUUGCCAUCGGAUGUGCCCAGAUGGGAUUAGCUAGUAGGUGGGGUAACGGCUCACCUAGGCGACGAUCCCUAGCUGGUCCGAGAGGAUGACCAGCCACACUGGAACUGAGACACGGUCCAGACUCCUACGGGAGGCAGCAGUGGGGAAUAUUGCACAAUGGGCGCAAGCCUGAUGCAGCCAUGCCGCGUGUAUGAAGAAGGCCUUCGGGUUGUAAAGUACUUUCAGCGGGGAGGAAGGGAGUAAAGUUAAUACCUUUGCUCAUUGACGUUACCCGCAGAAGAAGCACCGGCUAACUCCGUG